rnacentral:rRNA from 1 species
GACGAACGCUGGCGGCGUGCUUAACACAUGCAAGUCGAACGGAAAGGCCCUGCUUUUGUGGGGUGCUCGAGUGGCGAACGGGUGAGUAACACGUGAGUAACCUGCCCUUGACUUUGGGAUAACUUCAGGAAACUGGGGCUAAUACCGGAUAGGAGCUCCUGCUGCAUGGUGGGGGUUGGAAAGUUUCGGCGGUUGGGGAUGGACUCGCGGCUUAUCAGCUUGUUGGUGGGGUAGUGGCUUACCAAGGCUUUGACGGGUAGCCGGCCUGAGAGGGUGACCGGCCACUUGGGGACUGGGUUACGGCCCGGAUCCCUACGGGGGGCGGCGGGGGGAAUAAUGGCUCAUGGGCGGAAGGCCUAUGGCGGCACGGCGCGUGGCGGAUGAACGCCCUUCGGUUGUAAAACCGUUUUGCCUGUGAACGAGGGUGAGUGAAGGUAAUGGGUAAAGAAGCACCGGCUAACUACGUG